rnacentral:misc_RNA from 1 species
AUUACUAUCAACUUUAUUUGCUCUUGGCCUACAGAAGUUACACAUUUUGUACAUAAUAAUAUUAAAAAGAACAAAUAUGUGAAUAGUUUGUUACAUCUAAAAUUUAUUCCAAAAGAUAAUAAAUUGUUUAGGCUCAUGGCUCCUGAGCCAAAAUUUGAGUAUUUUCAUAUUUGGCUUGGCUAAAGAGACCAUCCCUCUUGACAACAAAACAAUUUUGCCUAAUGGCAGAGAUAAGAAAUUGAUAGCAGAAAGAUUAAAAGAUAAAAAUCUUGUGGGCAAAACAACCAAGGCUGGUGGAGAGGAAGAAGCUACUAUUCUAUUACAUACAACAUUAUCUGCAUCAGUUG